ACAGUAUACAGUCAGUGGCAUCUGACUCAUUUUAGAUCAUGGGCCACAUACCCCUAAUUUGAUCUCAAGUGGGCCGGACUAGUAAACCACUCCAGAAAGAUCAGAAACUUAACCUGCCACAGAGUUUCAAGUCAGUUUGAUGUUGGCAAACACAAGUUACUUCUGC